rnacentral:rRNA from 1 species
UUUAUUGGGCGUAAAGCGAGCGCAGGCGGUUAGAUAANUCUGAAGUUAAAGGCUGUGGCUUAACCAUAGUACGCUUUGGAAACUGUUUAACUUGAGUGCAGAAGGGGAGAGUGGAAUUCCAUGUGUAGCGGUGAAAUGCGUAGAUAUAUGGAGGAACACCGGUGGCGAAAGCGGCUCUCUGGUCUGUGACUGACGCUGAGGCUCGAAAGCGUGGGGAGCGAACAGGAUUAGAUACCCUGGUAGUCCACGCCGUAAACGAUGAGUGCUAGGUGUUAGGCCCUUUCCGGGGCUUAGUGCCGCAGCUAACGCAUUAAGCACUCCGCCUGGGGAGUACGACCGCAAGGUUGAAACUCAAAGGAAUUGACGGGGGCCCGCACAAGCGGUGGAGCAUGUGGUUUAAUUCGAAGCAACGCGAAGAACCUUACCAGGUCUUGACAUCCCGAUGCCCGCUCUAGAGAUAGAGUUUUACUUCGGUACAUCGGUGACAGGUGGUGCAUGGUUGUCGUCAGCUCGUGUCGUGAGAUGUUGGGUUAAGUCCCGCAACGAGCGCAACCCUUAUUGUUAGUUGCCAUCAUUCAGUUGGGCACUCUAGCGAGACUGCCGGUAAUAAACCGGAGGAAGGUGGGGAUGACGUCAAAUCAUCAUGCCCCUUAUGACCUGGGCUACACACGUGCUACAAUGGCUGGUACAACGAGUCGCAAGUCGGUGACGGCAAGCUAAUCUCUUAAAGCCAGUCUCAGUUCGGAUUGUAGGCUGCAACUCGCCUACAUGAAGUCGGAAUCGCUAGUAAUCGCGGAUCAGCACGCCGCGGUGAAUACGUUCCCGGGCCUUGUACACACCGCCCGUCACACCACGAGAGUUUGUAACACCCGAAGUCG